rnacentral:rRNA from 1 species
ACUCAAAUGAAUAGACGGGGGCCCGCACAAGCGGUGGAGCAUGUGGUUUAAUUCGACGCAACGCGAAGAACCUUACCUGGGCUCGAACGGCUGGAGAUGCUCUCUGGAAACAGAGGGGUUCCCGCAAGGGACUCCAGUCGAGGUGCUGCAUGGCUGUCGUCAGCUCGUGUCGUGAGAUGUUGGGUUAAGUCCCGCAACGAGCGCAACCCUUGUCCUGUGUUGCAACCCCGCAAGGGGGCACUCUCAGGAGACCGCCAGCGAUAAGCUGGAGGAAGGUGGGGAUGACGUCAAGUCAUCAUGGCCUUUAUGUCCAGGGCUACACACGUGCUACAAUGGCCGGUACAAACCGAAGCAAACCCGCGAGGGGGAGCAAAUCGGAGAAAACCGGUCUCAGUUCGGAUCGCAGGCUGCAACCCGCCUGCGUGAAGCUGGAAUCGCUAGUAAUGGCAUAUCAGAACGAUGCCGUGAAUACGUUCCCGGGCCUUGUACACACCGCCCGU